rnacentral:lncRNA from 1 species
AUGCCCUAUCAUUGUACUGCCAAAAGGAAUGAAAGCCAGAAGCAGAGAAGAGACAAAAACAGGAAACUGGUGACAAUAUCUCACUGUAAGAGCAUAUUUCUGAGCUUAAAAGGAAGAGAUAGAUGAAUCAACUGUAACGGAAGUAGAAUUCUGGACAAAUUAUGUCUCAUACCUUACUGUUAUUAACUAUUGAAAGCUUGCAAAUGACUGAAUAAUAAGAUAUACUGUCCAUACAUUGCUGUGAGAUCACCUUGAGAAAACAAAUAAUAAAGUGAGUUUUUAUAUGCA